GCGGGCGUGGUGAAACUGGCAGACACGCCAGACUUAGGAUCUGGUGCGAGAGGUGUGUGGGUUCGACUCCUCCGCCCGCA
rnacentral:tRNA from 1 species